rnacentral:rRNA from 1 species
AAACUUGCAACAACGGAUCUCUUGGUUCUGGCAUCGAUGAAGAACGCAGCGAAAUGCGAAAAGUAAUGUGAAUUGCAGAAUUCAGUGAAUCAUCGAAUCUUUGAACGCACAUUGCGCCCGCCAGUAUUCUGGCGGGCAUGCCUGUCCGAGCGUCAUUU